rnacentral:rRNA from 1 species
UGGGAACGUGCCCAAAGGUACGGAACAACUCCGGGAAACUGGAGCUAAUACCGUAUGUGCCCGAAAGGGGAAAGAUUCAUCGCCUUUGGAUCGGCCCGCGUCUGAUUAGCUAGUUGGCGGGUAAUGGCCCACCAAGGCGACGAUCAGUAGCUGGUCUGAGAGGAUGACCAGCCACACGUGGGACUGAGACACGGCCAGACUCCUACGGAGGCAG